UUCUAUGUUCAACCCUCGUUGUUGCUUUCCUAUCUGAUCAGUAGGGGCCUGGAAGAUCGGCAUGGUCUCUAAAAGGGCAUCUCGGCCUAGCUAACCCCACAGCGGAAAGUGAGCGCAAAGGCCUGCAGAUAUAAAGUUACACACAGAGAGAUGCACUCUGUCUCACUAGAGUUAUAGCCAUGACCAGUGGGCUCUAACUUUUAACUAAACACGUUAUCCUGCAAGUAAGCUAAAUGAACUGAUCGACCACUGGAUCCGUUUAUUUACUAACGUUUCACAUUGUUGUCAUUCUGCAACAUAGCAACAAUUAAACAUGCAUAGCCAUUGUACCUUCCUGCGAUAGCGAACCAACACAGCUUCCAGUUCCAGGAAAGGAUCUCUGAAAAGACUGUACUAUCAACAAGGAAAGUCUAGCUUCUACGAAGGAGGUCCAGAGACGGCAAAGCCAGUGUUUCCUUGGACUAACAAGCCACGGAACCCACCACGCAGACCAAUCUGCACUCCAGCAACUUGUUGCUAAGCAUCCAAGUCAGCACAGGUGGUAUGAUGCCUGAGCCCAGUUGAGCAUAUCUUGUUUACAUGGACACGCCCAGUGAGCUUCACACGAACCUGAUGCUUGUUGGUUAGGAAGGGUGGGAGUGAUCUUGAAGACUCCAUCAGUCAUCCAGAGGGCAUCAGUCUCUCGAUUGGCUCCACCCCUUCCCAACCCACAGGUCCAGAGACCGCCUCCUCCUGUGAUGUGUACGACUCAUGAAGUAAUCAGGAAGCAGCAAGCGAUGAGGGAGAAGGCCGGAGAGAGUGAUGCUUUCUGAUAGAGUUGCACCCCACAAAUGGAGUCAAUCAAGUGGGGAGGGAAAAAUUCAUUUUCCGACAAGGGUAUCAGCGAGAUCGUCCGGACACGGUGACAACAAAUCCAUAGCGGAGGCAAGAAAAAGAAAGAAAUGAAGAGGAUGGAGAGAACGGGAGGAAAGAAAAAAAACCUGACUGGGUGUAAAACAGGACUCUCCGUAGCUGACUCCUCAUUCACGGCCCUACCUUUCAGCUGUCCAAAGCACAAUUUCAGGCUCAUCAUUACCCCUGCUGGAGACACGACACGCCGCUCCGCUGACAGCCGCCGCUGCCUGUCCGAGUAAUAGAAAGAUGACAAGCUGAAAGGGAGCGCUUUAGCAAUUCGCCAUCAGGGACCUAAACAUGGCUGCCACCGGUUUGUGAUGCAUUCAACGACUGUUUUCAAUGAGGCAUGCUUUCUCCUUUCUUAUUUUUUUUUUUCUUCUAUUCAGUUUAUUCGGCUC